GAUGAACGCUGGCGGCGUGCCUAACACAUGCAAGUCGAGCGAAGCGGGGACGGGUGAGUAACACGUGGGUAAACCCCUAUAUGACUGGGAUAACCUCGGGAAACCGGAGCUAAACCCGAAACUUAUCGAUGGAUCCGCGGUGCAUUAGCUAGUUGGUGGGGUAACGGCUUACCAAGGCCACGAUGCAUAGCCGACCUGAGAGGGUGAUCGGCCACACUGGAACUGAGACACGGUCCAGACUCCUACGGGAGGCAGCAGUAGGGAAUCUUCCGCAAUGGGCGAAAGCCUGACGGAGCAACGCCGCGUGAGUGAUGAAGGUCUUCGGAUCGUAAAGCUCUGUUAUUAGGGAAGCGGUACCUGAUCAGGAAGCCACGGCUAACUACGUGCCAGCAGCCGCGGUAAUAC
rnacentral:rRNA from 1 species